GGAUUAAAACGAAAGUUUAUUAUACGUUGAACAAAAUUGUACUCAACUUUGAAUAUAAUAUCUCAAGUGUUCAGGCCUCGGUAGUCUAACUGGUAGGACGCUCGCACAGAAUGUCAGAGAUCCUGGUUCAACUCCCGGCCGAGAUUGCACGAUAAAUUCAAACUUGCUAUCACUGUGAGUGCUAGAUGACAACUGAGACAGGCCAC